UUUUUCAGUUUAAUUCUUAAACUACUCUAUUUAAAAAAAAACAUUAAGGAGUAGCUAUCAAAUAAAUUGGUAUCUAUCCUUAAUUUUAAAGAUGGAACGUCAAUUGAAUUGACUAAAAGGGAUGAUUGCCAAAGUGAUGGCUAUUUAUAAUACAAGGGUGAAACUGAAACUCCAAAUAUUAAGGGAGUUCUUCCUUGAGACUAGGGAUGGAUAAUCCACAGUCAGUUCCUAUUAGAUAGGUAACUAACUACUACUAUUAAGCAAUAAAUAAAUACAGUAUUAGUACUGAAACUCCAAAUAUUAAGGGAGUUCUUCCUUGAGACUAGGGAUGGAUAAUCCACAGUCAGUUCCUAUUAGAUAGGUAACUAACUACUACUAUUAAGCAAUAAAUAAAUACAGUAUUAG
rnacentral:lncRNA from 1 species